ensembl:processed_transcript B230319C09Rik RIKEN cDNA B230319C09 gene
GGAUCCCGGGGCACCCUCCUACCCCCGGCAACAUACACAAGACGUCCCCUGCAGUUCUAGCGGGUGCAACUGGAGUACGGCGAAGGGGUGGGGAGCGGCAGUAUGUGGGUAUCCCAUACCGGCCACUCUCAGCCAGAGCAGAGCUGGAGCUCUGGUUCUCCAAGGAGAAUCCAGGGCAGCAGAAGCCUCACAUCCAUCCCCCAACCCCGCCCCCCGCUUUGCAGACUGCAGAUGAGUGGAGUAACUUACCGAAGGUGACACCGCUAGAACACAGCAUAGCUCAAACUCCAAGCCAGCCUCUCUCUGCUCAACUGAAGAAUGGAACCAGCAGCCAUUUCAUGCAGCUGUGAGGGCCUGAGAAGGCACAGAGCCACUGCCUGACACAAGCCCCCCAACAUUGGAAGCACCAGGAACUGACGAGAGGGAAACCUGUAACCUCCUUGCCUCUCCACCAUACAAAGGAUCCUGCCAAAAAUCCUGAACAGCCCCCUCUACCUUUGGAGCCUAUGCUUCCUGGUGGGCACACACCAAUUUCCACCCGAGUAAUUGCGGCCCAUCACACAUACAUCAUCCCCUAUAUUUGAAACUCUUUGAGGUUGUCAUGGGAACUGCCUUCGCCUUCAUUCACUGAUCAGACCUCACAAUUAGCUUUGACAGCGGAAGGCUUUGUCAAUGGCAGUCACCAGGAGGAGGAAGCAGAGAAGAAGGAACAACAACAGAAGAGAGAUGGUUUUCCUUGGAGGUCCAGCAGAACCAGACGGCAGUGACACUUCCCUGUGACAAGUCAGGUCACACACCUGAGUCCCUGACAGGUAGUGAUGCUCUUCCUGUGCUCCAUGCAUCCUCCUGUCAGUGGCUCCCAACCAUCCUAAUGCUGCAACCUUUUAAUAUAGGGUCACGUGGUGUUGGCCCCC